rnacentral:lncRNA from 1 species
AAAAAAUUCAGAAUCAUUGUUAAGCUUAUCUAAACCAAACUUUUUUUGGUGCGGACUCUAAUGUCAAACUGAGGUGAACAACCAUGUUAUAGGGGAUUACUUAUGCUUCAGCGUUAAGAUAUUGUGCACAGUAUGGUACUAAGGGCUGAUCCUCCUAAGUACGAGAAGAAGAGUCCGUAAUCUUAUGACUGUUAAAGAUUUCAAGUAUAAACACUUGACAACCUAGGACGUAGUUCAAGGUCUUAUGACCCUUAGAAGUUCUUUUGAUUCUUAUUAUUCAUUCUUG